GACGUAGGGCGCGAGCGUUGUCCGGAUUUAUUGGGCGUAAAGAGCUCGUAGGCGGUCUGUCGCGUCUGCUGUGAAAACUCAGGGCUUAACCCUGAGCUUGCAGUGGGUACGGGCAUGACUGGAGUUCGGCAGGGGAGACUGGAAUUCCUGGUGUAGCGGUGAAAUGCGCAGAUAUCAGGAGGAACACCGGUGGCGAAGGCGGGUCUCUGGGCCGAUACUGACGCUGGAGGAGCGAAAGCGUGGGGAGCGAACAGG
rnacentral:rRNA from 1 species